rnacentral:misc_RNA from 1 species
GAUGAAGAACGUAGCGAAAUGCGAUACUUGGUGUGAAUUGCAGAAUCCCGUGAACCAUCGAGUCUUUGAACGCAAGUUGCGCCCGAAGCCACUAGGCCGAGGGCACGCCUGCCUGGGCGUCACACGCCGUUGCCCCCCCAUCUACUCCUUCGGGAUUGCGGGGGGGCGGAUGAUGGCCUCCCGUGCGCCUAGCCGCGCGGUUGGCAUAAAUACCAAGUCCUCGGCGACGCACGCCACGACAACCGGUGGUUGCGAAACCUCGGUUGCCCGUCGUGUGCGUUCGUCGCGCAUCGAGGGCUCGAAAAAAUGCUCGGCUCCGGCUGGGCUUUCAACGCGACCCCAGGUCAGGCGGGGUUACCCGCUGAAUUUAAGCAUAUCAAUAAGCGGAGGA